rnacentral:rRNA from 1 species
GACGAACGCUGGCGGCGUGCCUAAUACAUGCAAGUAGAACGCACAGUUUAUACCGUAGCUUGCUACACCAUAGACUGUGAGUUGCGAACGGGUGAGUAACGCGUAGGUAACCUGCCUGGUAGCGGGGGAUAACUAUUGGAAACGAUAGCUAAUACCGCAUAAUAUUGAUUAUUGCAUGAUAAUUGAUUGAAAGAUGCUAUUGCAUCACUACCAGAUGGACCUGCGUUGUAUUAGCUAGUAGGUGAGGUAACGGCUCACCUAGGCGACGAUACAUAGCCGACCUGGGAGGGUGAUCGGCCACCCUGGGACUGGGACACGGCCCAGACUCCUACGGGAGGCAGCAGUAGGGAAUCUUCGGCAAUGGACGAAAGUCUGACCGAGCAACGCCGCGUGAGUGAAGAAGGUUUUCGGAUCGUAAAGCUCUGUUGUAAGAGAAGAACGGGUGUGAGAGUGGAAAGUUCACACUGUGACGGUAUCUUACCAGAAAGGGACGGCUAACUACGUG